UACGUAGGCAGCGAGCGUUUGUUCGGAGUUACUGGGCGUAAAGGGUGUGUAGGCGGUUCUUUUUAAGUUUGGUGUGAAAUCUCCCGGCUCAACCGGGAGGGUGCGCCGAAUACUGAGGAACUAGAGUACGGGAGAGGAAAGUGGAAUUCCUGGUGUAGCGGUGAAAUGCGUAGAUAUCAGGAGGAACACCGGUGGCGAAGGCGGGACUCUGGGCCGAUACUGACGCUGAGGAGCGAAAGCGUGGGGAGCAAACAGG
rnacentral:rRNA from 1 species